GACGAACGCUGGCGGCGUGCCUAAUACAUGCAAGUAGGACGCAGUUGCGAACGGGUGAGUAACGCGUAGGUAACUACCUAUUAGAGGGGGAUAACUAUUGGAAACGAUAGCUAAUACCGCAUACUAGUAGAUGGACCUGCGUUGUAUUAGCUAGUAGGUAGGGUAAUGGCCUACCUAGGCAACGAUACAGAGCCGAGCUGGGCAGGUGAUCGGGCACACUGGGAAUGAGAAACGGGCAAGAAUCUUCCGGGAGGCAGGAGUUGGGAAUGUUCGGAAAUGGGGGGAACGCGUACCGCGCAACGCCGCGGGAGUGAAGAAGGUUUUCGGAUCGUAAAGCUCUGUUGUUAAGGAAGCGGUACUUAACCAGAAAGGAACGGCUAACUACGUGCCAGCAGCCGCGGUAAUAC
rnacentral:rRNA from 1 species